CCUACGGGUGGCAGCAGUGAGGAAUAUUGGUCAAUGGCCGUAAGGCUGAACCAGCCAAGUCGCGUGAAGGAAGACGGAUCUAUGGGUUGUAAACUUCUUUUAUCGGGGAAUAAAGGUAUCCACGUGUGGAUAUUUGCAUGUUACCUAUGAAAAAGCAUCGGAUAACUCCGUGCCAGCAGCCGCGGUAAUACGGAGGAUGCGAGCGUUAUCCGGAUUUAUUGGGUUUAAAGGGUGGGGAGGUUGUUUAUUAAGUCAGCGGUGAAAGUUUGGGGGUCAACCAUAUAAUUGCCGUUGAAACUGGAAGACUUGAGUGUGAGUGAGGUAGGCGGAAUGCGUGGUGUAGCGGUGAAAUGCAUAGAUAUCACGCAGAACUCCGAUUGCGAAGGCAGCUUGCUAGGCCAUAACUGACACUGAAGCACGAAAGCGUGGGGAUCGAACAGGAUUAGAUACCCGGGUAGUC
rnacentral:rRNA from 1 species